rnacentral:rRNA from 1 species
UGGGGAAUAUUGCACAAUGGGCGCAAGCCUGAUGCAGCCAUGCCGCGUGUGUGAAGAAGGCCUUCGGGUUGUAAAGCACUUUCAGUCGGGAGGAAGGUGGUAAGGUUAAUAACCUUGGCAAUUGACGUUACCGACAGAAGAAGCACCGGCUAACUCCGUGCCAGCAGCCGCGGUAAUACGGAGGGUGCAAGCGUUAAUCGGAAUUACUGGGCGUAAAGCGCACGCAGGCGGUUGAUUGAGUCAGAUGUGAAAUCCCCGGGCUUAACCCGGGAAUUGCAUCUGAUACUGGUCAGCUAGAGUCUUGUAGAGGGGGGUAGAAUUCCAUGUGUAGCGGUGAAAUGCGUAGAGAUGUGGAGGAAUACCGGUGGCGAAGGCGGCCCCCUGGACAAAGACUGACGCUCAGGUGCGAAAGCGUGGGGAGCAAACAGG